rnacentral:rRNA from 1 species
UACGUAGGUGGCAAGCGUUGUCCGGAAUUAUUGGGCGUAAAGCGCGUGUAGGCGGUCUCGCAAGUCGGAUGUGAAAGCCCAGGGCUCAACCCUGGAAGUGCACUCGAUACUGCGAGGCUAGAGUCCCGGAGAGGAUGGUGGAACUCUCGGUGUAGAGGUGAAAUUCGUAGAUAUCGAGAAGAACACCGGUGGCGAAGGCGGCCAUCUGGACGGUGACUGACGCUGAGACGCGAAAGCGUGGGGAGCAAACAGG